rnacentral:misc_RNA from 1 species
GUCCUUGCCGUCGGCGCCGCCCAGGGUGAACUCCGCCAGCGUGACGGGCGGCGCCCCGCCCAGGGAGCAGCUCGCGGCGCCGCUGCAGUCGCCCGUGGCGCACGAGAGGCGGCCGGCGGGGGACGACGACGACGCGACGCAGCCCGUGCGCGCCCACAGGCGGCCCGACCAGCCCGCCGGCGCCGGGAACGAGACGGUGGCGCCGGGCGACAGCUCGAAGCCCCCGCCCCCGACGGCCGCCGCGCUGUUCCCGGACAGUGUGGCCGGCCAGACCGUGUGGGUGCAGUUGUUGUGCAGCGUGAACACCGUCGUGCCGGCGGCCUCCGCGCCGAACAUCGCCCGCGACAGCCAGAUUACCCCUGCGUAUAGUAUAUGCAGACAUCAGCAGUUCAGCACGGCGUGCGACAACGUUUUGUUUGCGGUAUGGAUACGGCAGAUGAGCUUGCGAAUGUACCAGCGAGGAGUAGAAGGCUUGCAACUCGUAUGGCUCCCAUGGAAACGGGUUGGUUGGAGCUAGGGCUUGACGAGAGGAACCGGCAAUGGGCCAAUGGCAGACGUGGACAAUGUGCGGUGGAAAUAGCUGGAGCUGGAAGAGGAAUGUGCAGGCAGUAAGACUGCUGA